rnacentral:tRNA from 2 species
GCGGGAAUGGCGAAAUUGGUAGACGCACCAGAUUUAGGUUCUGGCGCCUUGUGUGUGAGAGUUCGAGUCUCUCUUCCCGCACCA